ensembl:rRNA 5S_rRNA 5S ribosomal RNA
GUCUAUGGCCAUACCACCCUGAACGCGCCCGAUCUCGUCUGAUCUCGGAAGCUAAGCAGGGUCGGACCUGGUUAGUACUUGGAUGGGAGAAUUAGGAUUCAGAACAGAAGCUGUAGGAC